rnacentral:rRNA from 1 species
AGUGAACGCUGGCGGUAGGCCUAACACACGCAAGUCGAACGGCAGCACAGUAAGAUCUUGCUCUUACGGGUGGCGAGUGGCGGACGGGUGAGGAAUACAUCGGAAUCUACUUUUUCGUGGGGGAUAACGUAGGGAAACUUACGCUAAUACCGCAUACGACCUACGGGUGAAAGCAGUGGAUCUUCGGACCUUUCGCGAUUGAAUGAGCCGAUGUCGGAUUAGCUAGUUGGCGGGGUAAAGGCCCACCAAGGCGACGAUCCGUAGCUGGUCUGAGAGGAUGAUCAGCCACACUGGAACUGAGACACGGUCCAGACUCCUACGGGAGGCAGCAGUGGGGAAUAUUGGACAAUGGGCGCAAGCCUGAUCCAGCAAUACCGCGUGGGUGAAGAAGGCCUUCGGGUUGUAAAGCCCUUUUGUUGGGAAAGAAAAGCAGCAGGUUAAUACCCCGCUGUUCUGACGGUACCCAAAGAAUAAGCACCGGCUAACUUCGUG